rnacentral:lncRNA from 1 species
ACUGAAAUUCCAAUUCAGUUUACCAGUUUAUGUUGUUUAUCAGUUUACCAGUUUAGUUUAAAAUUGGUUUGGUUCAGUUUAGUUCUCCAGUUCAGUUUGGUUUAUGGUUUUUUUUACCCAUCACUACUUGUAACUAACAAACACAAAACAGAGUUUAAUAACAUGACAUUAACAAAAACAAUAAAAUCAAUGAAAACCCUAAAAUUGAAACAAAC